UUUAGACUCGUAGCAGAUAGCUCAGUAACACGUGGCCAAACUACCCUAUGGAUCCGAAUAACCUCGGGAAACUGAGGCUAAUGCGGAAUAGCGUUCAUCGCCUGGAGUGGCACGAACGCGAAACGUUACGGCGCCAUAGGAUGUGGCUGCGGCCGAUUAGGUAGACGGUGGGGUAACGGCCCACCGUGCCCAUAAUCGGUACGGGUUGUGAGAGCAAGAGCCCGGAGACGGUAUCUGAGACAAGAUACCGGGCCCUACGGGGCGCAGCAGGCGCGAAACCUUUACACUGCACGCGAGUGCGAUAAGGGGACUCCGAGUGCGAGGGCAUAUAGUCCUCGCUUUUCACGACCGUAAGGUGGUCGUAGAAUAAGUGCUGGGCAAGACCGGUGCCAGCCGCCGCGGUAAUACCGGCAGCACGAGUGAUGACCGCUAUUAUUGGGCCUAAAGCGUCCGUAGCUGGCCACGCAAGUCUAUCGGGAAAUCCGCGCGCUUAACGCGCGGGCGUCCGGUGGAAACUGCGUGGCUUGGGACCGGAAGACCAGAGGGGUACGUCCGGGGUAGGAGUGAAAUCCCGUAAUCCUGGACGGACCACCGGUGGCGAAAGCGCCUCUGGAAGACGGAUCCGACGGUGAGGGACGAAAGCUCGGGUCACGAACCGGAUUAGAUACCCGGGUAGUCCGAGCUGUAAACGAUGUCUGCUAGGUGUGGCACAGGCUACGAGCCUGUGCUGUGCCGUAGGGAAGCCGUGAAGCAGACCGCCUGGGAAGUACGUCCGCAAGGAUGAAACUUAAAGGAAUUGGCGGGGGAGCACUACAACCGGAGGAGCCUGCGGUUUAAUUGGACUCAACGCCGGACAUCUCACCAGCAUCG
rnacentral:rRNA from 1 species